AGCAGCCGCGGUAAUUCCAGCUCCAAUAGCGUAUAUUAAAGUUGUUGCAGUUAAAAAGCUCGUAGUUGAAUUUCGGGGUUCUACCAUUGGUCGGGCAAUAGUCUGUACUGGUGUGUAGAACUUCUACCUUCUGGGGAACUAUCAUGUUAUUUAUUUAGCGUGGUAGGAAACCAGGACCUUUACCUUGAAAAAAUUAGAGUGUUCAAAGCAGGCUUACGUCUGAAUACAUUAGCAUGGAAUAAUAAAAUAGGAUGGUGGUCCUGUUUUGUUGGUUUCUGAAUCACCGUAAUGAUUAAUAGGGAUAGUUGGGGGCAUUAGUAUUCAAUUGUCAGAGGUGAAAUUCUUAGAUUUA
rnacentral:rRNA from 1 species